rnacentral:lncRNA from 1 species
GUAUUAUAUGUGCACCAUAUCAUUAAUAAUAAAUUAAUUAUUUUUUUAUUUUAAUUUUUUUUUAAUUAUAAUAAGACAAAUAAAUAAAUUGAACUAGAAUACUUUUAAAAGCACUAAUCCCUAGGUUUGGUUUGGGAUUAAGGGGUGGAAUAACCUCUUAACCCGAUAUUAUCUCCAAACACCUCCAAAAAUGGAUGCGGCUAGCUACUCCCACCUCAAAUGGACUAUUCCGGAUUAGCUAGCCUCACCUAAUCCGACCAAAUCCUAACAAAAUACUAUUUUCUAGUCAUAAUAACUCACUAUCCUUCUUAUUCCAUCUAUUCCAACCAAAUACUAUUUUUCACUAUCCUGAACUAACUCCAAUUCUCAACCAAACACAAAAAUACUCUAACCCUAUCUUAAUCCUGAACUUAAUCCUAUUCCUGGAAUAAUUAGUUUUUGCUUAACCCCGAACCAAUAGGUGCUUUUAAGUUUCUAGCCCUUGGAUCUAUUCCGUAAUUACUACUACCUUUGGAUCAAACACUAUUCUACCUACCACCACUUAUCAUCAUCAUCUCAACUCUACAUCUCUCAAUCCAACAGUUAAAAAUUUAAAAGCACCACCCCUUAUAUUUUCGAGAGUAUUCUAGUUCAACUCCAAAUAAAUUCAAAAAAAAUAAUUUUAUUAGUUAAAAAUACUGAGUCAGUAAUAUAAUUUGUGCAUUCUCAAUUUUUUAGA